ACGGCUCAGUAACACGUAGCUAACCUACCCUUAAGUCAAGGAUACCCUCGGGAAACUGAGGCUAAAACUUGAUAGGAGAUUUACCCUGGAAAGAUUUAUCUCUCAAACUCGCGCUUAAGGAUGGGGCUGCGGCGGAUUAGGUUGUUGGCGGGGUAAUAGCCCACCAAGCCUGUGAUCCGUAAGGGCUCUUAGCGGAGAGGCCCUGAGAGGGAAUCUGAGACACUAUUCCCAGCCCUACGGGGUGCAGCAGUUAGGAAUAUUCUGCAAUGCGCGAAAGCGUGACAGAUUGAGCCAGAGUGCUUUUCUAUUUGAAAAGCUUUUGCCAAAUCUAAAAAGUUUGGCGAAUAAGGACUGGGUAAGACGAGCGCCAGCCGCCGCGGUAAUACUCGCGGUCCAAGUCACAGCCAUAUUUAUUGGGUCUAAAACAUCCGUAGCUUGCUUAAUAAGUUUCUUGUGAAAUUUUAUCUCUCAAGGAUAAAGCGCGCAUGAAGUACUGUUGAGCUAGAGACUGGAAGACGUGAGAAGUACGAUUAAAGUAGCGGUAAAAUGUGUUAAUCUUAAUCGGACUCACAAUAGCGAAGGCAUCUCACGAGGACAGUUCUGACAGUAAGGGAUGAAGGCUGGGGGCGCAAAGUGGAUUAGAUACCCAUGUAGUCCCAGCAGUAAACACUGCGCACUAAACAUUAGUACCUCCUCGAGAGGUAUUGGUGCUGAAGCGAAGGCGAAGAGUGCGCUACCUGGGAAGUAUAGCCGCAAGGCCGAAACUUAAAGGAAUUGGSGGGGGAGCAC
rnacentral:rRNA from 1 species